GGGAGACUGCCUUGGUUCCUGCAGUACAUCAGAGACACCUUGGGGCUGAGGGUUUUGUUAUACACUUGGUCCAUUUGUUGUGUGGACAUUUUCUAUUUCCUUCCUCUGGGUAGAGGGAGCGAUACAGUAGAUUCCCUUUUGCUCUUCCGCUUAUAUAAAAAACUUCCAACUAAGUUCUGAUAAAAUCAGUUCUGUUUUCCUGUGAAGCGUUGACACAACUAAAGCUAGUGAAAGGAUUUUUGUGACUUUCUUCCAUCCCGUGUCUUUGCACAUAUUCAUUGUCCAUAAGUAAGGCAUCUGAAACAUAUUAUUCAGCAUUAUCCUAAACUUUUCAGCAGGAAGUGUUUGAACAACUAUAGGCAACGUAAUUUCAGGAUGGAGGAUCUAUACCUUACAUGACUCCUCUGAAAUUUCGUGCUGGUUGAAGUCAGUAAACCUGCCUCAAGCAUGCUGAGAAGUGGUUACAUGUUGCCUCCUGAGGUGUGUCAUACACCUCAAGUGGUUAGUUAUGAUUAAUAUUGCUCAAUUCUCAUUGACUACUCAUAGCAUAUUGGGCAGGAGCAGAGUGUGGACAUACCCUCUAGGAAAUGACAUGCUAAUAAAUGUCAACCACUCAAUCACUUAACUAGGUCUUACUGAGCUGUUGCCAUGAGAAAGGCACAAUGCUAGGAUAUAAUCAGGA
rnacentral:lncRNA from 1 species